GAAAGUUGGUACGUGCACCCUGGAUUUGGCGCAUGCUCAGUUGGUAGGUCGCAGCCCAGAGGGCUGUGGGCGGAAGCGGCUCCAUUCUCCAGAAGCUGCUACCCUGAGUCCUAUCUCCAUAUUGUGUCUCUGAGUGAUCCUGUGGGUCACGCAGCCUCCCUCCCUAUUAAGAGCUCCUCCAGGAUAUGAAUUUUUGAAGAAACACCACUAAAGCGAUGUGUCUUUUCCGGUGCAUAUCGAGGUGCAGAUGACAUUGGUUUCCCCCAGUAUUGGUGAUGUUCACUUGGCUGGAGUGCGUGGCGCAAUGUCAGCUCACUGAAACCUCUGCCUCCUGGGUUCAAGCGAUUCUCCUGCCUCAGCCUCCUGGGUAGCUGAAUUUCUAAGGGUCUCUCCAGGUCGCCCAGGCUGGAGUACAGUGGUUCACAGGGUUUCUCUGCAGCCUUUACCUACUGGGCUUACGUGAUCCUCCUGCUUCAGCCUCCUGUGUAGCUGGAACCACAGAUGCGUGCCACCAUGCCCAGC